rnacentral:lncRNA from 1 species
UUUAAUAUAUUUGAUCUAUCAUAAACAUUUAUAAAAUAGCUACCAUUUUUUACUUCAUUUAACUUAAUAAAAAAACUUACACCCAAAUAAUAACUUGAGAACAAUAAUUAAGGCUAACCAAAAGCCUAAGCACAGUGCCUAAUUUUAUAUAUAUAUACAUACACCUAAUUGCAUGUCCUUUUCAACUACAAACUUACGAAAAAGUUAAGAACUAUACCCAACACAGUUGAUUAAGAAUUUAACAAUUAGUACAUAUCCGAGAUUUUAAAUUUAAAUUCUAAUUAAUUUAUAUUUUUAGUUAAGUUUAAUUUAAAAAAACAAAAC